UCGUAACAAGGUUUCCGUAGGUGAACCUGCGGAAGGAUCAUUACCGAGUGAGGGCCCUCUGGGUCCAACCUCCCACCCGUGUUUAUUUACCUUGUUGCUUCGGCGAGCCUGCCUUUUGGCUGCCGGGGGACGUCAGUCCCCGGGUCCGUGCUCGCCGGAGACACCUUAGAACUCUGUCUGAAGAUUGUAGUCUGAGAUUAAAUAUAAAUUAUUUAAAACUUUCAACAACGGAUCUCUUGGUUCCGGCAUCGAUGAAGAACGCAGCGAAAUGCGAUACGUAAUGUGAAUUGCAGAAUUCAGUGAAUCAUCGAGUCUUUGAACGCACAUUGCGCCCUCUGGUAUUCCGGAGGGCAUGCCUGUCCGAGCGUCAUUGCUGCCCUCAAGCACGGCUUGUGUGUUGGGCCCCGUCCUCCUUCCGGGGGACGGGUCCGAAAGGCAGCGGCGGCACCGCGUCCGGUCCUCAAGCGUAUGGGGCUUUGUCACUCGCUUUGUAGGCCUGGCCGGCGCUUGCCGAUCAACCAAACUUUUUAUCAGGUUGACCUCGGAUCAGGUAGGGAUACCCGCUGAACUUAAGCAUAUCAAUAA
rnacentral:misc_RNA from 1 species